rnacentral:rRNA from 1 species
UACGGAGGGUGCGAGCGUUGUCCGGAAUCAUUGGGCGUAAAGGGCGCGUAGGUGGCCCGGUCAGCGUGCGGUGAAAGCUCGGGGCUCAACCCCGAGUCGGCCGUGCGAACUGCUGGGCUUGAGCACUGUAGAGGCAGGCGGAAUUCCGGGUGUAGCGGUGGAAUGCGUAGAGAUCCGGAAGAACACCGGUGGCGAAGGCGGCCGCUGGGCAGUGGCUGACACUGAGGCGCGACAGCGUGGGGAGCAAACAGGAUUAGAAACCC